CUGGGAGGGCGGGCUGAACACGCUCGCUGGGCGGGCGCAGCGCGUCAGCGGGCCCCGGGGCUGAUGUCUGCCUUGGGCCUUCGGUCUGGGGUUUCUCUGAACUUGGUUUUCCCAGAAUUUCCUGCCAGAAUUUAGCUCUGAAGAUGCCACAACUUGGAAUCAGGAGGGAAAGUCAUUAAGUUUGCAUUUAACGGUUCUGCUCAUCAGAUGUUCCUGCUGACCACAAGUGGCUGCUUAGUCUACGCCUCCUCCUAGGUGGCUGGACUGGAAGAUCUUUCUGCAUGAUGAUGAAAACCUGUUCCUGCCCUUCAGUUCAGUUUUCCCAUGUUUGGUCCUUUUAGAUAAUAAGAUGGAAUUGACAGCACGGAGAGUUGGGGCUGUGGACGUUUCUGCUGUGUAAACAGCCAAGGAACUGCCUGGUUUCCACCUUUCCUCCCUCCCCGCUACCCGCUGAAGAGGCUUUGGCAGCACUCGUAGAGCCUAACAUCUGGGAACACUGUUAGCAACUGCUACACCAGGCCAGACCCUUUCCUGGAUUUAAUGUAGUUACCUCAAACGUUCCAAGAUGUGAAUGUUCCCCCCAUCACCACCACCAGCAGCAGCAGGGGCUACAGCAAAAUGAGCUUCCGCAGUGAGCGAUGCAAGAGGAUCUGCUCCCUGGGGCUGGUGUUCGGGCUGUCUCCCUCCAGAUCCCAUAACGGGUAUCGGCUACCUUUCAGCAGCAAAUAAAAUCCUGCAGUUUACAGCUGGAGAGAGACACAGGCCAGAGGGAGGUCGUGCCCGGGUUUCUCACCGCUCCGGUCCCGUGGGAGAGAGGAGGCUUGUGUGAGGUGUAGGUACUGCCUGAGCAUCCCUUGGACCCUUAAUCCGCCUUCCCUGCCAUGCCGGGAUAGCACGGCCGGGGAUGGUCUGCUUUCACUCACCGUGCUGUGAUGAUGGGGGCAGGGGGAGAAAUCAAAAAAGCUUCAAAAAAUUUCUACGCUCUAGCUACAAAAUCUGCUGCGCCUCCAAGUUGGGCCUUGGAGUCAGAUACGAUCAGGCUUAAUUUGACAGCUAUUUCUUAAAUAUUUUAAAA